rnacentral:rRNA from 1 species
UACGGAAGGCAGCAGUGGGGAAUAUUGCACAAUGGGCGAAAGCCUGAUGCAGCUAUGCCGCGUGUAUGAAGAAGGCCUUAGGGUUGUAAAGUACUUUCAUCGGGGAGGAAAAAAACAAAACUAAUAAUUUUAUUUCUUGACGUUACCCGAAAAAGAAGCACCGGCUAACUCCGUGCCAGCAGCCGCGGUAAUACGGAGGGUGCUAGCGUUAAUCAGAAUUACUGGGCGUAAAGAGCACGUAGGUGGUUUUUUUAAAGUCAGAUGUGAAAUCCCUGGGCUUAACCUAGGAACUGCAUUUUGAAACUGAAAUACUAGAGUAUCGUAGAGGGAGGUAGAAUUCUAGGUGUAGCGGUGAAAUGCGUAGAUAUCUGGAGGAAUACCUGUGGCGAAAGCGGCCUCCUAAACGAAUACUGACACUGAGGUGCGAAAGCGUGGGGAGCAAACAGGGAUUAGAU